rnacentral:rRNA from 1 species
GACGAACGCUGGCGGCGUGCUUAACACAUGCAAGUCGAACGGAAAGGCCUCUUUCGGGGGGUACUCGAGUGGCGAACGGGUGAGUAACACGUGAGUAACCUGCCCUUCACUUUGGGAUAACUUCAGGAAACUGGGGCUAAUAACGGAUAGGAGCUCCUGCUGCACGGUGGGGGUUGGAAAGUUUCGGCGGUUGGGGAUGGACUCGCGGCUUAUCAGCUUGUUUGUGGGGUAGUGGCUUACCAAGGCUUUGAAGGGUAGCCGGCCUGAGAGGGUGGACGGCCACAAUGGGACUGAGAGACGGCCCAGACGCCUACGGGAGGCAGCAGUGGGGAAUAUUGCACAAUGGGUGGGAGCCUGAUGCAGCAACGCCGUGUGCGGGAUGACGUCCUUCGGGUUGUGAACCGCUUUCGCUCAUGACGGAGCUUUGUGUGACGGUAGUGGGUAAAGAAGCACCGGCUAACUACGUG